rnacentral:tRNA from 1 species
GCCUGCGUGGUGGAAUGGUAGACGCGUUGGACUCAAAAUCCAAUGGUAGCGAUACCGUGUCGGUUCAAGUCCGACCGCAGGCACCA